UUCGUGCCCGUCUUCUUUUAUAUAAGAAACCUGGUGUUUAUCUCCCUUUUCUCAUGAGAUCGUGUCUGUUGAUUUUUUUCAGGUUUUUUUACAGGGUCGCAGAAUCAGAAAGAUGUGCAGCUUUUUAGGGUUGUUGUAGCCGAAUUCAUGCAUCCAAAAGAUUAGGAAUUGAUGGGAGCUUCUGUCUUCAUCACCAGCCGUAUUGUCUUUGCUGUGCUAUUGUUGAUCAUCUAACAAUAUACACAUUAGAAUUGUCGCCACAGAUCGAAGUUAACGCCAGUGUUAUCUACGAUAUCAUUUAUUUACUGUGAGGCAAUUGCUAUUGCUUAGCUCGGUCCCAAAAGAGGGCUAUGAUGGUGCAAAUGGGGUGCUGGAUGAAGCUGUUUUGCUGGUGACAGUGGUCUUAGCUUAAUCAACAACUCAUCCGUAAGAGUCUGUACAGUGUGAUAGUAGAUGUCUAUUAGCGAUCCAUACAUGUUAUGCCAAUAUUCGAUAAUUAAAGAAUCCUUGGCGGAAAAGCUGAAUAAAGAAUGUUACAUUCUAGAGAUUGGAAAUGGGCAAAGCUUAAUGAUUUCACAGAAGGCAGACUCAUUUACGUCUGAAGCAAGAACGGGGUGAUAGAGCGAAAGGUAUGGGAAAGAAUUCUGAUGGGGUAUUUUUUCUUGCCAUGUUAACUUAAAUUGGCCUCAUAAAAGGAAUCAGUGUUUACUUAGUUUAAUCGGCUCGAUCCUAAUUGGAAAUUGAAUUGUAUGUAUCCGUGAUUUCUGUAGAAAGCAUGUAAUCACAUUUCUACUGCUAACAGCUAACUAUUACUUCCUCCAAAUUAUAGUAUCGAUAAAGGAAAGCCUGUAUAAUGGUGUUAUGUUGAGUUGCAUCCUAAUGUAAAACUGAAGCUUUUAAGUGAAAGAACGUCACAGUAACUCAAAAAGGUGGUUAGAUAACAAAACAACAGUUCUAUACAUAGGCACACAAUAAAGACUAUGUUUUCCACUCAUAGAUAAAUAUCGAGGUGGUUAUCAGGUAGGAGCUCAUCUCAUGGACAAUUAUCAAGGUUAUCGAGCUCCAAUGAUCAAGGCCAUCUCUCAACUGAGAAUUAAGGAACUCAACACGUGCAUGACACCCAAAAUGUCCUGAGGAAGGCAUUAACAUUGUAGUUGCAGUAAAUCCUAGACUACACCCCUCACAAGAUUUCAUUAACAUUCAAUUCAUUUUUGAAUUAACAAUCUUAAUUUUAUUGAUGAAUCUUUGAACAAUCUUACAAGAAAAGAUAAAGGGAUUAAGAACAACAA